rnacentral:rRNA from 1 species
GCUAUGAGUUUUUAGUUUGUUUUUAUAUUGUUUUUUGUAAAAUAUUUUAAUUUUUUUUUUAGUUUCUUAUGGUAUCAAAAAUUUGUUUUUUGAACUGGAUUAGUACCCAGGUAAUCAAAAUUUAAUAAUUCGGGAGUAAAGUUUUAUUUAAACCGAAAAAAUAUUGACUGACUUUAGAUUUUUCUUUGGAAUAUGUGAUUUGCUGGAGAGCCCUCUUUUUUGGUGAAUUUUGUUGGCACAUGUAUGAUUGUUUAGUUUUUAUUUUAUUUUGUAAUGCUUUGUUGUUUUGGCAUUAAAAACAGAUAUAUAUUUGGCUUAUGAAUUUAUGUUUCAUGUGUUACUAUUAUGAAUUUUUUUUGGAUUAGUUUUUUAUUUUUUUUUGAAAUUGGAAAAGAAAGUAAUUUUUUCU